rnacentral:rRNA from 1 species
UACGUAGGGUGCAAGCGUUAAUCGGAAUUACUGGGCGUAAAGCGUGCGCAGGCGGUGAUGUAAGACAGUUGUGAAAUCCCCGGGCUCAACCUGGGAACUGCAUCUGUGACUGCAUCGCUGGAGUGCGGCAGAGGGGGAUGGAAUUCCGCGUGUAGCAGUGAAAUGCGUAGAUAUGCGGAGGAACACCGAUGGCGAAGGCAAUCCCCUGGGCCUGCACUGACGCUCAUGCACGAAAGCGUGGGGAGCGAAACAAGG